rnacentral:misc_RNA from 1 species
GGAAGAUGGUCAAGGUAGCUUGCUUCCAAGCCACUGCACUAGAUGCGCAUGUAGUCAUAGUAGUCGGCUCAGAAUGCCUCUGUUCUAUACUAAAAGACUACUUCGGAUGAAUGGGGCNNNNNNNNUUGAUCUAAUAAGGCCUACGAGCUCUCUGUUUUAGUUUUAUGGCGGAGAUCUCUCCACACCAAGGAACCAAAUCACAAUGGAUCGAAGCCCUC